AAAUUACAAAUUCACUCAUGGCAAUUCUUGUCUAUUCAGCUACAAAAUGAGAAGCAUGCAUGUUAUCCUGCAGCUUAUACCCAUACUAUGCAAUAUAGAGGUGGCUGCCUCACUUUGGGGGGAAAGCGGAAGCUCUUCAGAAAAAGCUUUCCACAGGGGAACAAGAGAACUGAAUGCUCCAUCUCCAAUAGAUUGUAAGCUGAGCAGCUGGAAUGCAUGGGGGCCCUGUGACCCCUGCACCUAUCAAAGGUUUCGCUCUAGACGUAUUGAAAGAUUCGGACAGUUUGAUGGAAGACCAUGCCUGGAGACCUUAGGAGAUACACAAAGCUGUAAAACCAGCCAAGUCUGUCCUGAAGAACCAGAACAAGACUGUGGUACUGACUUUGAAUGCAAUUCUGGUCGAUGUAUAAAGCGACGACUUGUGUGUAAUGCAGAUAAUGACUGUGGAGACUUUUCUGAUGAAGAUAACUGUGAAUCCAACCCACGAUCACCAUGCCAUAACCAUGAUAUUGAUGUGUCUGAAAUUGGCAGGACCGCAGGGCAAGGAAUCAAUAUUCUAGGAAUGCAGCCAAUGGCCAGCCCAUUUGACAAUGACUUUUUCAAUGGUCUUUGUGAAAGGGUGCGUGAUGGAAACACACGGACAUACUACCGCAAGCCAUGGAACGUGGGUGUUCUCAAUUACGAUACAAAAGCAGACAAAACCUUCACAUCUGUGUUCUACCAUGACCGUGUAAAAAUGUUACGGGAAGUUUAUAUAGAAAAACAAAAACACUUUAAUGCUGACCUGUCUCUGAAAUACACACCUACUGAAGGAAGAGUAACAAAAAUGGAUCAGAACAAAAGUUCAAGUAUCACUAUAACAAGAAUUCAAAACCAAACCUUUCUGCAUGUAAAAGGAAAGAUUCAGCUGGGAAGAUUCCAAAUGAGGAGUCGUGAUGUCCGUCUCACAGAUAGUUUCCUUGAUGAUCUAAACUUGCUGCCUGCUGAAUAUGAUAAGGGGGAAUAUUUCAAAUUCCUAGAAGAUUAUGGAACUCACUAUGCAGUCUCUGGAACUGUAGGAGGAAAAUAUGAACUUGUGUACGUGCUGGAUAAUUACGCUAUGUCUCGAAUAGGUAUCACUGUAGAAGAUGUGAAAAGAUGCCUCGGCUACCACUUAGAUGUCAAUAUUGAUGCAUGGACAUCCAACUUUCUUCAUCCUCUCUUCUUUCUUUCUGCAGCAGAACUUAAGGAUGACGCUGUCAUUGAUGAUGUUAUCUCCUUAGUUGAUGGAGGGACGAUUGAUUUUUCAGUUAAAAUAAAAGAAAUGUUACUGCGAGGAUCCAAAAUGGUUGAUGUAGAGGAUUACAUACAGUGGGCUAAGUCUUUGGUUCAUGCUCCAGUAGUGAUACAGCAACGGCCUUCUCCAAUACAUACACUUGUUCCAGUUAAGAUGAGAAACGCGUAUUUAAAGAAACAAAAUUUGGAAAGAGCAAUUGAAGACUACGUUACCGAAUACAGUGUGUGCAAAUGUGAACCCUGCAAAAAUGGAGGCACCCUUGUGCUGGUAGAUGGGGCCUGUACAUGCAUGUGCUCAAGCUACUUUAAGGGAAUUGCUUGUCAGAUUCCCAAAUCUACAUUAGUUAAAGGUUAG
ensembl:lncRNA